CCAAUCCCCAUGCACCAGCAUUUCCCUGCAGCAGCCUCAUUAAGGGCUGGUUUCAAAGCUCCUUCACAGGAGAGGAUAAUGAUGCCAAGGAAGAGCAGAUUUCUUGGGGGAAAGGGCAGGAGAGCGCUGUGAGCCUAAUGUGGAAACAGGCUCCCACUCCUGUCUCCACCACAAGAAGGCCAGAGAAGAGAACUGGGUCCGGGAAAGAGGGUCAUGGCUCUUCUUCUCUGUCCCAGCUGGCGCUCAGGAUUGUAAGAAGCAAAAAGCAUAUGUAAUUGGCAAAACAAAAAGAGGGUGAGACAAGGAAGUUGAUGCUGACUGUCCAUCCUUGGAAGUGUGUCCAGAACCAUGGGAGCCAUAUGGCCACCAGCUGGAGAAUAAAGCCAACGUGGGAGAUGAUGGAGCUGAUGAAAAUACCCAGGACUAGAACAAAGCUGAAAGUACCAUGCCCAGACAUCACUGGAAGACACACAGCAUGAGUCUAAGUAUUAAACCAGUUUUACUGAUGGAGAAAAUGAGGCCUAGAGCUGUGAUUUGCUGGGGGAGCCAGAACAAGGAAAAGCUUGGGGUCCCAGAAAACACAGAUUCAUCCCAGAGGCAAAGGCUUAAUCACACCAGAGUUACAACAAUAGAUUCAUCUGCUGAUGGACAUACUGGAUGUGCUACUUCUAAAGUUGAGCAAUCGUGAAUUGUGCUGCUAUAAACGACAAAUCGGGGAGAGAGAGAGAUGGAGAAGUCAGGUAAUUGGAGGAAAAGUAGUUCUAUCCCCGAGGAGCUGAUUGAGGUCCUGGCUUUGGAUUGUUUCCCGGAAGAACUGCGUUGCCCUCUGCUCCUUGGUUCACCUGAUUUAUAACCACUCACAGGCAUGUCGGGGGUCUUUGGACCUUGGCCUCCAGGCAGACUGCUCAGAGAAGGGAAGAGGACAGACUACAAGGCAGAGCCUCUGAGCAGACGCAAGAAAGGCCCUGGGAGACUGGAGCCAUGCCUAACACCAGCCCCUGCCCACAUUCCCCGUCGGAUGGGGCUUGUGCUGGGGUCUGCCUGGAUCGCCUGCUCAUCCACGAGGCAGGGAAGAAGCAGCACGCGGCUCCUCUCCCACUCAGGACGUGGGCUGUACACUGCACUUCUUUGGGCUUCAGCUUCUGCAUCGGUAAAGCACACCGAGGGACAUUCAUACUUCACCAGAUUCUUGAGUGAUUUAAAUAACCCCCUACAAACAAGCGCUUAGAACAGAGCCUGCAAAUACCAAACCCUCACUAUUUAUCUGUUGUUUUCACCAUUUAAUAAACUAAUCCCCGACAUAGGUACAGUGGUUAGAAUCGUGUCACAGAGGAGAAAACUGAUUUGAGAGACAAUAAUGGUUUACCUAAUGGCGUCCAGAAUGCAAGUGCCUGGGAUUCCUGAACUGACUGUCCAACUCGAGGGCUAUUAUUACCUCUUUGUUUUUAGAUAAGAAGGCAAUGGUGUGUGUCUUGACAUUCUGUAGAGUAAUUCUACAGUUUACCUAAAAGAAUAAGGAAGAAAUGUUUGUUUAAAAAAAUAGAAAAAUAAUGGGUGAUAAGUCAUACAUGAUUGCAUCAAAAAGGUAAACAUUUCUAUGUGAAAAUAGAAGAUAAUUAGGGUGAAGGCAGUGUUCUUUAUCUUGAUUGUGGGGUUACACAACUAUAAUUGUAGCCAAAAUUUUUUAAAAUUUACAUUUAAAAGGGGAGAAUUUUGUGUGUGAAAAUUAUACCACCAUAAAAACUUGAGAAAAAGGUAAUUAUAAUUUAAAAAGGAAGAAAUCAACUAGGCAGAAAUGUUGCCUAUAACAUAUUUGCUAGAGCACCAACCAAAGCCAAACAAUCAUAACCUAUGGCCCAGCAGUUCUAGCCCUGAGUAUACACCCAGAAAGGAGCACAUAUCUGCCAGGUGAAAUGUAAAGAGAUGUUCCUAGUUGCUUUAUCUGUAAUAGCUCCAGAUUACAAACAACCCAAAUUUCCAUCAACAAUAGAAUGGUUAAGAAAUCGUGGUAUUCAGACAAUAGAAAACUACAGAGAAAUGAAAAAGAAUGAACUCAAUAUAUAACAUAGACGAAUUUUCCAAACCUAAUGUUUCAUUUCAGAAGCUUAACCCAACCAAACACACACAGGAUGGCUCCAUGUGUAAGAAGUCUGGAACACGCUAAGCUGGUCCACAAUGACAGAAAAGUCAUGACUUGGCAGUGGCCACUGCUAACUGGCAGGGGACAUGGGAAGCCUUAGGGUGCUGGGACUGUCCUAUAUCUCCACCUGGGAGUUAGUUAUAUGGGUGUGUACAUAUGUAAAUAUUGGUUGAGCUAUGUAUUUAAGAACAUUCACUUUUCUCUAUGUUAAGUUACACAUAAAAAAGACCUAAUCUGAAUUUUUUAAAAUGGGCAAAGGACUUGAGAUCAGGAAAGAAGCAAUCUUAACUGACUUAACUAUUAUGGACACAUAGUUACACAUGCCAAAUCACUAAUCACACAAAUGCAAAUGAAAAGUUUUUCUGAAAUUAUAAUGCCUCUAUUUGAGGGACAUGAAGUUAUGCGCAAGGCCCUGAGAUGAAGAUUUUUGAGGCAAGUGAUUCUCAAGGAACUUCUGAAACAAGAACCCAGAAAGCAGAAAAGGAAGAGGAAGAAGAUGCCAAGAAAGGGCACAGUUUCAGGAGAUCUUGCCUGCUCAGCACUGUCCCGUGGGAACUGUGAGAUGCAUUGACUCCACAUACAGUGGACUCUCGAGUUAGACUGGACUAACAUAUGAACGACUUGGGUUAUGACCGGAAUUUUAGUUUUAACUUAUAACCAAAGUCUUGAGUUACCAUCCAAAUGCCUGCCACUUGUUCUUCCAGAUGGUCUCAGAUACAAAUUUAACCCUUAAAGAGUGCUGGAGGGAAUAUGACAACAUCCUUUUCUGUGUGGGGUUCACUGAGAAAUCCUGGGCCAAUGUCUCUCUAAGGACACUGAGAUCUGCCAGUGUACAGGAGAGAGACUUUGAGGGCUGUGUAGAGGAGGCUGACCCUUCAAUUGACCAACUUGAGUUACAGCCAGCGAACUGAGUUUGUAAGUCAAGGGUCCAUGGUAUUUUAUUCUGUCUCAAGGUGAAUCCUCUAGGCUUUCAUAGUCUCUAGUGCUCAGGGCCAUUGACUCUCGCUCCCGCACAGACUUCUAGCUUGCAGUGCCCUGGGCAGUUCUCUGCAGAAGGGAGCGGGGGAUGGGCACAGAGAGACAAACAAGCAGAAGGAUCCUAGUCAGAGCUCUGGUAAGCUUCUGUGAUAACUGCCUUGCUGCAGGGUUGGAGAUUAUCAACCUGAAGGUUUCAUCUUUGCACAAGAUUGAACUGACCAAUUGCGACAGAAAAGCCAGUGGAGAAAUAAAGUCAGGAGUGAAUGACCGAAUGGUCUUUCCUGGAAAAGGCUAGGUCUUCAGUGUAACCUCUCCACAUUUUAUGUGAAAUAGGUGCUUUGUUCCCAGUGUUGGCAGAAGGGAGAUGUGGGAGAUUUGUGGACAAUGAAGUGAGGAGUGGAUUCCUUGGGGAAGGACUCAGAUCCUAGUUAAAUCUUGGAAUCGAUGAGUCAUGGCUAUGUCACAGCAGAGCGUUUGGGUUGUGAAACUGAGUGUGUUCUUCCUGGCGGGCCUAUUCGGUCACCCUCAAUCCUUGUCCCCAAGCGCAGUCCCUUCUGUCCUGGAGUUCUUUGCUCCUAACUGCGUUUGAUCUUCAUGACAUCUUGUGAGGCAGCAAGAUCAGCUGUUUUCCAGAUGAGUAAACUGAGG
rnacentral:lncRNA from 1 species